AGAAUCAACGCUGGCGGCGUGCCUAACACAUGCAAGUCGAACGAGAAAGGGUAGCAAUACCUGAGUAAAGUGGCGCACGGGUGAGUAACACGUGACUAACCUACCCUGGAGUGGGGGGAUAACUGAGGGAAACCUUAGCUAAUACCGCAUAACACCUACGGGUCAAAGGAGCAAUUCGCUUCAGGAGGGGGUCGCGGCCGAUUAGUUAGUUGGCGGGGUAAUGGCCCACCAAGACAGUGAUCGGUAUCCGGCCUGAGAGGGCGCACGGACACACUGGAACUGAAACACGGUCCAGACUCCUACGGGAGGCAGCAGUGGGGAAUUUGCGCAAUGGGGAAACCCUGACGCAGCAACGCCGCGUGGAGGAUGAAGUACUUCGGUACGUAAACUCCUUUCGAUCGGGACGAUAAUGACGGUACCGGAAGAAGAAGCCCGGCUAACUUCGCGCCAGCGCCGC
rnacentral:rRNA from 1 species